UGGAUUAUGGAAGACGACUACUGCGAAAGCAUUACCAAGGAUGUUUCAUUAAUUCAGAACGAAGUUUUAGGGUAUCGAAGAUGAUUAGAUACCAUCGUAGUCUUAACCAUAAACUAUGCCGACUAGAGAUCGGUGGCUGCAUUGUAAGUCCCCAUCGGCACAUUAUGAGAUAUCAAAGUCUGUGUGUUCCGGGGGGAGUAUGGUCGCAAGGCUGAAACAUAAAGAAAUUGACGGAAGGGCACCACCAGGAGUGGAGCCUGCGGCUUAAUUUGACUCAACACGGGGAAACUUACCACGUCCAGACAUAGUAAGGAUUCACAGAUAGAGAGCUUUUUCUUGAUUCUAUGGGUGGUGGUGCAUCGCCGUUCUUAGUUGGAGGAGUGAUUUGUCUGGUUAAUUCCGUUAACGAACGAGACCCCCGCCUGAUAAAUAGUUCUGAGAAUGAUUAGCAUUGCCAGAGUUUUCUGAGAGGGACUUUCGGCGAUAGGCCGAAGGAAGUGGGGGCAAUAACAGGUCUGUGAUCCCCUUAGAUGUCGUGGGCCGCACGCGCGCUACACUGAUGCGUUCAACGAGUUUAUAACCUAUCCGGAAGGACCGGGUAAAAUGAAAUGCGCAUCGUGAUAGGGAUAGAUUAUUGCAACUAUUAAUCUUGAACGAGGAAUUCAUAGUAAACGCGAGUCAUCAGCUCGCAUUGAUUACGUCCCUGCCCUUUGUACACACCGCCCGUCGCACCUACCGAUUGAAUGAUUCGGUGAAGCUUUCGGAUUGCGCCACUGGCCUCGGUCGGCAGCGUGAGAAGUUAUUUAAACCUCAUCAUUUAGAGGAAGGUGAAGUCGUAACAAGGUUUCCGUAGGUGA
rnacentral:rRNA from 1 species